rfam:Loxodonta africana cont3.15372, whole genome shotgun sequence.
CUAGGAGAAGCAAAACAGUUCUAGACAGACCUGUGGUUUUACAGCAGUUUUGGCAGUCUACUUCAGCUUGUGCCUAAGCAGGCAGCCAGUGGCCUGUCGGCCAGCCGGGGACACCAAGCAGCCUCCCCAGGUUGCUUGCAGCCACUCUCUAAUUAAAUCAUUUUCCCCGGGUGCCAGGAGUGGGGGUCCCCGCAGAAAGG